GGAUGUGGCUCAGUGGUAGAGUGCUUGCCUUGCACAUGUGAGGCACUGGGUUCAAUCCUCAGUACCA
rnacentral:tRNA from 1 species